UAUGCAGGCGGCUUUAUAAGUCUGGUGUGCAAGACUCGAGCUUAACUCGAGGAACGCACUGGAAACUGUGGAACUAGAGUACAGGAAGGGGAGUUGGAAUUCCAGGUGUAGGGGUGAAAUCUGUAGAUAUCUGGAAGAACAUCAGUGGCGAAGGCGAACUCCUGGCCAUGUACUGACGCUGAGAUACGAAAGCGUGGGGAGCAAACAGGAUUAGAUACCCUGGUAGUCCACGCUGUAAACGAUGUGCACUAGGUGUUGGGGUUUAUGACUUCAGUGCCGUAGCUAACGCGUUAAGUGCACCGCCUGGGGAGUAUGCUCGCAAGAGUGAA
rnacentral:rRNA from 1 species